UACGAAGGGGGCUAGCGUUGCUCGGAAUCACUGGGCGUAAAGGGCGCGUAGGCGGUCUUUUAAGUCGAGGGUGAAAGCCUGUGGCUCAACCACAGAAUUGCCUUCGAUACUGGGAGACUUGAGUUCGGAAGAGGUUGGUGGAACUGCGAGUGUAGAGGUGAAAUUCGUAGAUAUUCGCAAGAACACCAGUGGCGAAGGCGGCCAACUGGUCCGGUACUGACGCUGAGGUGCGAAAGCGUGGGGAGCAAACAGG
rnacentral:rRNA from 1 species